rnacentral:rRNA from 1 species
AUGCUAAUACCGCAUAAAACCUAACACCGCAUGGUGUAGGGUUGAAAGAUGGUUUCGGCUAUCACUUUAGGAUGGACCCGCGGUGCAUUAGUUAGUUGGUGAGGUAAAGGCUCACCAAGACCGUGAUGCAUAGCCGACCUGAGAGGGUAAUCGGCCACACUGGGACUGAGACACGGCCCAGACUCCUACGGGAGGCAGCAGUAGGGAAUCUUCCACAAUGGACGAAAGUCUGAUGGAGCAACGCCGCGUGAGUGAAGAAGGUUUUCGGAUCGUAAAACUCUGUUGUUGGAGAAGAAUGUAUCUGAUAGUAACUGAUCAGGUAGUGACGGUAUCCAACCAGAAAGCCACGGCUAACUACGUGCCAGCAGCCGCGGUAAUACGUAGGUGGCAAGCGUUGUCCGGAUUUAUUGGGCGUAAAGCGAGCGCAGGCGGUUUCUUAAGUCUGAUGUGAAAGCCUUCGGCUCAACCGAAGAAGUGCAUCGGAAACUGGGAAACUUGAGUGCAGAAGAGGACAGUGGAACUCCAUGUGUAGCGGUGAAAUGCGUAGAUAUAUGGAAGAACACCAGUGGCGAAGGCGGCUGUCUGGUCUGUAACUGACGCUGAGGCUCGAAAGCAUGGGUAGCAAACAGGAUUAGAUACCCUGGUAGUCCAUGCCGUAAACGAUGAGUGCUAGGUGUUGGAGGGUUUCCGCCCUUCAGUGCCGCAGCUAACGCAUUAAGCACUCCGCCUGGAGAGUACGACCGCAAGGUUGAAACUCAAAGGAAUUGACGGGGGCCCGCACAAGCGGUGGAGCAUGUGGUUUAAUUCGAAGCAACGCGAAGAACCUUACCAGGUCUUGACAUCCUUUGACCACUCUAGAGAUAGAGCUUUCCCUUCGGGGACAAAGUGACGGGUGGUGCAUGGUUGUCGUCAGCUCGUGUCGUGAGAUGUUGGGUUAAGUCCCGCAACGACCCCACCCUUAUUACUAGUUGCCAGCAUUUAGUUGGGCA